UCUAAACUGGCCUUCUUGCUGUUGGACAAGUAAAUUACUUUUUAGCUGGCUUGUUAUGUCUUGUGUUGUUGAGCUUGCUUGAUGUUUGCCAGUGUUAGCAAAGUUGUCGACUUGAGCAAAAUCAGGAUUCACAGACAGAGGUUUAGCCACCAGCUAUAAAUCAUAAACUUACUACAUAACGCACUCAGACAUCGGUAAUGCAGCCAGACAAGUUUCAUGCAACAUUAUACUGCUGCUGGUGGAAAGCGGCGCUGGUGUCAUGCAGGCCGAGCGGGCCCAGCAGCCUCUGUAGACAUAAUGUUAGCUACUGGCAGAGGUGAAGAAACCAAAGAGGACGUUUAUGGAGGUAGCUAAGAAGAGAAAAAAGAGAAAGACCAAGCAAGAGGCUCUGGAAGUUGGCGAGAGCUUCGUGUAAUAAAAGGCUGCAAGACAGACGAAACAAGUCACAUUUCAUUCAUCUUCCAGCAGCCUUAGCAACUGCCAUGAGGACAACAAACCAUAAAUCUUCUCUGAUACGUGGACAGCAUAAUGGCCUGUUCACAUUCCUAAAAAACACCUGUGGAUGCCUCUUGUGUGUGGUCUUUUGCAAAAUACCAACGGGAAUCCUCAAUCUGUAUUAUAUGUCCUUUCACUCAUAGAGUGAAAAUAGUACUUGAUAUAUACUGUGUAAAUGUAUGUUAUGUACUACAGUUCCUGCAGCAGGUUUAAACAUCAAACAUAGCUUAGAGCAAUUUCCUUUUUUCUUAAAUCUGCUUUCUACUCGCUCAACAUCGUAUCACUCAUUAGAAAUGCAUAAUUGUUUUCAGA